AGGAAACCAACUAACCGCCCUAGGAUGCAGCACAGUGAAACGUGGGGAUUAUUGGAUGCACGGAUGGGAAGCAGCGCGAAGAUGACGUCAUCUCCAACCAAGGCAAGCAUCACUGUACUCGGGAGCUGGGCAGUAGACACCGGGAGGGCUCAAGGUCAAUUCACUGAAAGAACUCAUACUCGUAGCGGUGGACCUACAGAAUCAAUGACUCUUCUGGUCCCCGUAGGCUUCUGUGGGCUCCUGAUAAACAGAGACGGAGCCCUCGCCACCACCUGUACCCAGGAGCUGAAUCACGAGUCCUUUGAAGAUAACCUCACAUCCGGGAAACAGGACGUAAAUUGUCUAAGAUCUAUUUAUUCAUUCAUCAAAUACAGGUGCGUUAGAGUAUCUGCCUUCUCCCAGGUGCUGUGGCAAAGUCACCCUCCUGGCAGGGUGACAGGACCAUUAUGAACAGCCAGUAAGAGGACAGCAGGGUUCUGGAGGAGACUGUCUGGCUCUGGCACGCAUGGCCCUUAGUCCCCAUGUCUUAGCCUCUGCUGGAGGUUGGAUUAAGAACAGGCCUAGAUGUUGAGGCUGUGUGAGAAAAAAAGAUUCCAAGCAGCUCAGGUCACCUGGCUGUCCUGGAGGCUGGGACAACAUAGCCACCUAUCCACUCAUAGGCCUCCGUGGCCAGGAUGGUGAGACAGCAGCUCAUGAGGAGAGCUGAGUUUGCAGAUGGAAGCACUCGACAGUACCCGUACCAGUGGCUGUUCUUGAAGGACCCAGCAGUCAAUAUAAGCUCUCCAGACCCCAGUCUUUCCUUAGGGGUCAUCCCUAGUAUUUCCUCACUUGCCAUGGCCAGAAGAAAAGGACCCCCCUCGCCCUCAGGGCUUCCAUGCGGCCAUGGCUAUAUGGCCAGGCACAUCAAACCACCUUAGGGACAGAAAGAUGGAGCAUUCCAACUGGAAACCCAAAUAAGGCCUCAGUCAAGACUCGCCUCCUGCUAAAACCCGGCAGGGCCAGUGCAAAGUGGAUAAAACCAGGGUGAGGAACCCAGGGCAUCUCUGGCAUAAGGAGUCAGCAUUUAGUCUAGGUCUAGCUGGAGGGGGUCUGUGGGGCUGGGGGAGCUCAGAGACGGUUUCUAGGUUUCUAGUCACUGUCUAUGGGGUCUCUAAGGGACUGAGCCCUGGCCUCCGCAGUACCAGGGCCUAUCAGACCUUGGGCAAUUCAGUCCAUUUUUCAGAGUCUGGUAAGUGAAUGAGUCAUGGCAAGUACACUAUGGUGAUGAGCUUCAGACCCCAGCAACGGCAGGCAGUGAAUCACAUCGCCUUCCCGGAGCAGCCUCUUCUCCCUCCCACAUGAUACAGGAAGGGAAGAUGGGUGACCCCUGGAGACUCUAACAUCUGAGCAGUGAGACUUCUGCAGGGUGACUUGACUGGGAAGCCCAGAACAGUAGAGGGAGGAGUCAGGGACUCUGAGGACAUAGGGUAAGCCUUCUGGUGCUGCCUCUAGCCUGCCAUGGACCUGAACGGCUCCUUCAGAUCAAUCACAAAAUGCUCUCAGCCUGACCCAUCCUUCUCUCCAGCUCCAGGGAAAAAUCAGGCAAAUUAACCUAGCAGGCAGAGAGCAGGCUGCUAUGCAUAUGUGCCAUGCAUACAUAUAUGCACACUUCUCUAUACACAUACAAAUUCUUGUAUGUGUAUGAGCAUACAUGUAUGUAAGUAUGGACCUAAAUACAUAGGAACACAGCCUCAAUACACACAGACUUACCUGUGCAUACAUAAGCACACAUGUAUGGGAGGAGCUCAUACCCUGUUGACAGCUCAAUAUUAUAUGUCGAAGCAGCUCUCUUAUGUAACUCACAAUCACAGUUAGGACAGUGACUCCAUUGUCACUGCUAUUUACUAAACAGUGUCACCCCCAGAAUGUUGUAUGUCGACUCCCCAAUCCUCUAGUGCCUGGAAAUAUGACUGUAUUCUAAGUCAGGAUCUAUAAAGAGGUGAGAACAUUAAAAUAAUAGCAUUAGGGUGGGGCCUUAACUCCAUUUGACUGUCCACCAUGCAAACAGGGGAGAGGCCACAUGAGGACACAGAGUGACCACGGCCAUCUAGAAGAGACUGACCAUUGAUGUCUUCAUCACAGUCCUCCAGCCUCUAGGACUGUGCGCAGAGUUCUUGUGUUCAAGGGCCCAGACUAUUGUUAUGGUAGACCCAGGAGACUUAAACAGUCAGGAAGUCACCAGGCUUAGUCAUAGGCUCCUUGCUGGUUCCUCAGGUCCCCAGGAGCCAUUGCCCUGAACCUAGCUCUGUUGGCCAAGGGCAAAGGUCCUCUCUCAGCCCUCACUUUUGGCACAGGCUCACCCCACUCUCCUCUAGGUAGGCCAAUUGCAGGCAGGCCAUGGGGCUUGUAAGCAGCAGGGCACCACAGGCCUCUCUGUUCAGCAGCCUGAGAUGUUGGCUUUGCCCUGGUCUGCUUCCUGAACCUUUGGCUGCCUUAGCCUCUUACUUCAAGCUCCAGACAUGACUGCAGCAAGUAUGGCAUGGCCUGCUGAGAGCUCUCUAUUGGCUUCUCAUACUUCUUUCAGGGUCAGAAGCACGGGGACCAGAAAGAGGAGCAGGAAUGGGGAACAGUGGCUGAUCUCUCCUCAGGUGAGAGCGCCUAGCAGGUGAGAAGCAGGCUGUGUGCGCAUGAGUUGUCCACACAAACACAUGCAUACAUAUAAGUUCCCAUGUACAUAUGUAAUCAUGCACACACAAGCACACGAAUACUUACAACCAGGUCAGAAAUUGGUGGGGAAACCCUUACCAGCUCUCUUCUAUGUACCCCAGAACUGGGAGCCUUUCCCCACAUGUCUGGCCAGCAGACCUCCUCGCUCAGCAGGCCCUCAGGCAUCUUGCUACACAGAGGUCAGAAGCCUUUACUGUGCUGGUGAUAACCAGCUCUGGGUCGGGAGACUGCUUGUGUCACUGAACUGUGACAACCUGGUUACAGAGGAGGUGUAGGCUCUCUCUCUCAAGUGAAUGUCUGCCUUGCUGUAUCCCUUUGUUUUAGUCUCUUCAGUGAGAAUGAAUGUAGCACCUGCUUGUGCAGGGCACCAUGCUAGACUUGCUCCAGGAAGGAUGAGUAAGCUGGGGAAAGGCAGCUGUUGUGCAGGGAUAGAGGGAUGACUAAGAUGAAGAUGAACAGGUCCUUUCUCUGUAAGCAAGUGGGUACCUGAUGAUGAAGGAGAUAGACCCACGCACACACCCCAAUAAACAGCCUUCUCAGGAGUCCGUUUUGGCUAGGCUGUGUCCUCGGAGAGUCUGCUUGUUUUUCAAGCAUGUUUGGGGGUUGGGGCCAGAGCCCCAGUCGCACACAGAUCUAUGCUAUGUAGAAAUGCUUACUCUGUCAUUCCGCAGGGAGCCGUGAAGAGAAUGGCUGAGCAGGACUGUGUUCACAGUUCUGCAGUGCAGGGCAGAGAGCUGACAAAAGCUGCCCCCUGAGACUCUGAGCAUGUGAUCUCACCCCUCUGCUCCUCAGACUAUAGCUUGAGGGAUGGUCAUACUGAGGGUCUGCCAAAGCCUAAACAGACUUCUCUGUUGACAAGUCAAAGACUAGCUAGGACCACGAUUGUUGGUGCCAAUGGUUGGCCCAGAAAGCACUGGGCCCCUGCAUGUCUACAGAGAAGAUCCAUCCGAGUAAUCAGGCCGAAGCUCUGGUUCCCCAAGGGCCUUAGCUCUUAGCCACCUGAAAACCCAGGGGCUGAAGGUGGUUGUGGAAGAAAUGCAGAACAUGCUGACUGACUGCAUCUCAACUGAGUCUCUUAAAGGAUGCCCUCCCUCCAGGCCUGGUAUUUUCACUCGACGUUUCUUCUGUCUCCUCAAACGUCACUCCCCCUUUGCUAAUAUGAAGAUACAUUAAAAAGAAUAGCGUAUCGCAAA
ensembl:lincRNA